UACGAAGGGGGCUAGCGUUGUUCGGAAUUACUGGGCGUAAAGCGUUUGUAGGCGGUUAAUCAAGUCAGGGGUGAAAUCCUGGGGCUCAACCUCAGAAUUGCCUUUGAAACUGAUUAGCUAGAGAAUGUUAGAGGAAAGUGGAAUUCCUAGUGUAGGAGUGAAAUCCGUAGAGAUUAGGAGGAAUAUCGAUGGCGAAGGCAGCUUUCUGGGACAUUUCUGACGCUGAGAAACGAAAGCGUGGGUAGCAAACAGG
rnacentral:rRNA from 1 species